rnacentral:rRNA from 1 species
AUGACGCUUAAGCUCUUGGCGGAAGUGAGCCCGCAGGAGUUGCUCGUAGCUCUUGCGGAGCUCCAGAACCACGUGCUCGGCUACGUCAAGUCCAUGUCGCUCAAGUGCGCCGUGGACCUCGGCAUCACCGACGCCAUCCACCGCCGCGGCGGCACCGCCACCCUGGCCGACAUCGCAGCCGACACGAAGGUGCACCCGGCCAGGGUCGCCGACCUCCGGCACGUCUUGGAGCUGCUCAGCGAGUCGGGCAUCUUCAGCGCCACCUCCCUCGCCGCUGCCCUCCUUUCUCUGUUGCCGUGGCUCGAACCAACGAAGAAGAAAGGGAAAAAGGAGGAAGAACAGGGACACGGCAAGGAUUUUCCGACCCACGAACGCCUUCAACCUUGA